CCUUUUGGUGAGGCUUUACAACGGCACGCAGUUCCCAUAACAUUUUAGCGAUCAAUAAAGUUUAAUUGAAUUGACAAACAAAGCACGUGUCGCCCUCGAGCGUCCCACACGUAAUCAAACACGCGCCAUGAAGAGGACUGGACAGGUCGGCAUGAUGGCGAGCGAGAAGGGGAAGAUAAGUUUCUCCUCGUGGAGGUAUUCACAUUAUUUUCAACUGGAGAGCAGAAGGAAAAACAACAUUUCGGUAACCUGUAGACUGUGUCCCGGUUCAAAAAUACUUUCUACGGCGAACAACAGCAACAGCAAUCUGCCGAAGCACCUGGAGAAGCGGCAUGCUUCGACAAAGUUAGCAGCUAAGGUAGCUAACGCAGCAUUCGAGACCGAGAGUCACAGCAGCGAGCACACACCCACUCCACCCAAGCAGUAGCGGUUGGAGUUCGAAAGACGGACCCAUAGCCAGGCACAACUUGAUAAAACAAUAGCACGUUUGUCCUCUGCACCCCCCGAAGCCCAGCUCCCUGUGCUGUUUGUGUGCGAGCAGCCUUUCAGCCCCGUCUCUGGUUGUCAACUGAUUGUAGAUAAUUACAGCUAUUUGACUACAGCUUUCAGAGCCAGUGCUUUCUAAAGGCACUUACAGGAGAAGAACAUGCCAAGCGGGGGCCUUUAACUGCCUCUGCAGAUAGCCAGACACAAUGGCACAGCAUGGCAGUGGAGACUUGCGGACCCAUCACAGCCAUCUCUCAAUGACAACCCACCACACACCCCUCACUCCGUUUCUGUCCGUUUCCUCGCUUCUUGGGGAGCCACGACAGCUGCAAGCUUCACCACAGGCAAGACUGGAUAACAGCAAGAGAGAUCAAAGUAGAACAAGUACAGAAACAUGCACUUUCUCUUCCCGUCUUCCUCCAUCUCUUGCCCACAUAGUUCUACCACUGCACACCACUAAGGACAUCAAGUGCAUCAACUGCAUUACUGUUAAACUGGGCCUAAAAGUUCAAACAUAUGUAAUUAGAUUUUGCUCUGCAGGGACCCAGGACUCCUGGAGGAUCCAGAUCCAGUUAUUGUCAUUGUUAUUAGCAGUAUUGUCUUCAUCAUAAUUACGCUAUGAUUACAUUUGAUAUCGGUAUAUAUUUUUUUGCAUCAAUUGAUGCUACUGCUUGUGUAAAUUACAUUGUAAUUCUAUAAAAGUAUCACGGCCAAUUUAGAAAUAUCCUGACAGAAAUGCAGCAUUUAUACAUCUGCUGCUGGUCUCUCUUCUGUCUCUACCUCACCCCCCCCCCCUUUCUGUCCCCACUUCUCCUCUGUCCCACAUUUUUCCUUUCAACCCAAACACCCGAGGCAACUGGCUGCACAUCUUUGAGUCUGGUUCCAUCAGAGAUUUCUUUUUGUUUCCACUGACACCAAGGGCUUUCUCAUUGUUUGAACUGCUGGGUUUCUCUUUGAUUCACAAACAUUUUCAUGUGAAGAUGUUAAACUGAUAGUAGCCCAUAGUGAUUCGAAUGACCAAGUUCUUACCUGCAUGGUUCAUUUGGAAAUGACAUGGCGUUACUUUGAUAUAAUCCCCUUAUGACCACAUUGUUAUAACCCACAUGGGAAUGUCAUUAGAACUAUAAUUGUGUUCUAACUAAACAGUAAUGUAAAGUCUUGCAUUACACUGUAUAUUAUUCUAAUACCAUUUAACAUAAAUGUUAUUCUUUACAUAGUUACAAAACAGAGAAGAGCACUUACAGUAUAUAGACAUUGUUUGAUACACUAAAGGUACAGUGUGUAGGUGUAUUGGUGAAGUUGAAUGCUGCAGCUGAAUAUCUCUCAUCUCAUCCUUCCCUUCCAAACAUGUAGGAGUACCUGUGGUAUCCUAAAGUUUUCAUUAAAACUUUUAAAGUUGUUAGGUUUAUCCAUUAAAAACACGGUGGACCCGCUCCAGAUGUAAAUAUAAAGGGCUCGUUCUGUGGUAUAAUGAAUAAUUCGCAUUUUCAGGUGAAUGUACACUCAAAAAUCUGUAUUGUUACUAUAAUUAUAUCAUAUUUUCACUCA